UUUUCUACUGUAAAAUCACACUCAGCCACACGCUCACACACGUCUGACAUUGAAAAGACAGGGAUUUUUCUUGUUUUGACGUAUUUUCUAACCUCUUAGAAUGUUAUUAGAAGUCGUAAUAAAAUAAUUUGAAUAUAAAGCUAUGUUUUAAAGUAAAUAAAGACCAUUUAACGAUGUUAACAUGAUGAGACAUCGAUUUUAUGGAAUGGAGGAGAAGAUUUAACAGCUAGAAAUUAACAAAAAUCCUGCAAGAGCAUCGAGAUCUCGCUUUUGGCGAGUGGAAGUCCAAAGGCAAAGUGCAGCGGUUUGCAGUUCUUAGCCUCACUUUUUUGGACCUAACAAGACAGGAAAAGAAUAGUCAAAGAGGAAACCCGAGUAGCCAGAUGAUAAUAUAUGAAACCAUGAGCAGCCAGCCAUUGAAACUCUCAGCAAUUUGAAUAACAAUUUUGAUUGAUUACCAAUCAUGU